UGGCCAGGAAUAAUCAUGGUUCCCGUCGUUUUUGGCCGGAGAAUUUUAAAAGAAUAUUGAAAAAAAUUAGUGCUUUAGAGGAGAUUAUGCUAAUGAUUCUGCUAUCGGCAGGUCACCCCAAGAGAAAUAAGUCUCAGCCCAUCAACUUGCUGAUGCUACAACUUCUCUGAGAGAGCACUUUACAACCAUUAUCCCAGUUUGCUCCUGUAACAAUCAUGAACGAGAAGAGUGAAGAACUAUUGGGCUGUUCCUUAGAAUAGAGACAGUGAUGUGGACAAGGCAGUGUACAACGUAUGGGCAUAAGAGGGAGUCUUAUGGGACCAGAUCCAGCAAUUUAUUUCUACCGUCUGUUCCAGCAGCACUGGUCAGUGAUGGAUUGGAAGAAAACUCGCCCUUCAGCACAGAAGGUUUGAGCAGCACAGCUUUACUCAGUCCUCCUGGGUUAAUCCUUCCUAAACAUCCUUGUCUUGUGAAUUAUUCCCUUACGCAACGAUUUUAAUGUCUUCUCGUCUUCCAUUGUAUCAUGUUGUAUUAGUCUGUUCUCACGCUGCUAGGAA